ACGUGUCUGGAGGCAAGUGUGUACCUCGGUGCCAUUUACCAGACUGGACUUGCUCCUUUCCCGGAAGGGUACUCUCAGUCUCCAAAGCUUUAGAAGAAGUAAGAAGCUUAACCAGAUACAAAGGUACUCUUCUUAAACUUUCUCAUUCUUUCUGCAUUUGCUGAUGACUCCCAAACUGGUAUCUUCUGCUCUGCCUUCUCUCCCAAGUUGGGACUUGGACAUACAUCUGACCACUGGCCAGGAAGACCUGGGUAGCCACAGGGACCUGGUCCUAACUUAUUUCUCCUGCUCCAUUCCUCAUCUCCGUGGAAGCAGUCUGCCUCAAGCAUCCACGGAAAAAAUGCUGGAGAUUCUUUGACAUACUUUAGUUGAGAAGAGAACUCUAUUUUCCCUUCCCCUUGAAUUAGGGCAGGAUCAUCACUUGCUUGUAAACAACACAAUGUGGCUGUGUGACUUCGAAGACAAAUGUCUCCAAAUGACAAGUUUCCAUGGAUGCCACCAGCUCCUUCACACACUUGGCCACAUCCUGCCAUCCACUCUCCCUGAAAUGCCUUUGCCUGCCAGGACCCUGUGGGCUGGGUUGGGGCCUCUCUUGGAAUUGCUUUGGGACACUGGCCCCAUUUCUACUACUGCACUCCAUCUCCUCCCCCUGUCCUGAGUACUAGACAGUGAGACCCUUCUGUGUGUGGGAAGUGCCAUGGUCACCACUGCAUCCUCACUGCCUGACCAUACACGGCACAUGAGUGAGGAUCAAUAGGAGUGUCUGGAAUAAGUAUUUCCAUAUAAAGCUCUACCGAAUAAUUCUGCUCCACUCACACUGCCUCUCCAUUGCUUUAAUACAAUUUGAUCAUUUUUGACCCAAA